GAACCGUACGAACGUUAUUCGGGAAUCACUGGGGCUUAAAGGGUGCGUAGGCGGCCUGGUAAGUUGGGGGGGUGUGAAAAGCCCUCGGGCUCAACCGAGGGAAUUACGCCCAAUGCUGUCAGGCUCGAGGGAGACAGAGGUGAGCGGAACUGAUGGUGGAGCGGUGAAAUGCGUUGAUAUUAUCAGGAACACCGGUUGCGAAGGCGGCUCACUGGGUCUCUUCUGACGCUGAGGCACGAAAGCUAGGGUAGCGAACGGGAUUAGAUACCCCGGUAGUCCUAGCUGUAAACGAUGAGCACUAGGUCGGAGGCCCUUCCACAGGCUUCCGGUCGUAGCGAAAGUGUUAAGUGCUCCGCCUGGGGAGUAUGGUCGCAAAGGCUG
rnacentral:rRNA from 1 species